rnacentral:tRNA from 7 species
CGUGAUAUAGCUCAAUGGCAGAGCGGGUGCCUUAUAAGCGCUUGAUUCUUGUUCAAUUCAAGGUAUCACGACCA